AGCAUGAGAUGAGCCGCUACUGUAUCCCCCAGCCAGACACAGGGCCACCUUGCGUGGUGCACAGUAAACCGAGACACGCACGUUGCAGCAGUGCGCCGACUCAGUCACCGGGGCACUCCCCUGUCUGGAACUCUACCCGCCCGGCACCUCGCAGGUCGCCACCCAGCCGCUUCUAUUGUGCCGGUUGCCAUCUGGCGCACUCUUCGGGGUAACUCGGGCACACACCUCAGCAGUUCGCAUCGAGGGCCGUGUGAGGUGCGUUCGAGUCACUUUGGCACACCCUGCCCAUCGUGAGGAUGGCACGAGUGUGCCCACUGUCGCAGGUCGCCCUGAAGCCACUCCAUCCAGGGCCUGGCCGCUGAUAUCAGUAGCGAUACAUUAUUUUGACCCUGCCAACGUCGUAGGCACUUGACCCUGCCACCGGCAGAGGUGGUUCGGCAUUCGAAGGUAUAGAGGGGGGCUGCUUGGCUUCCGCCCACGUACAGAGUUGGGGGGGGGGGCUGCACUGGACCCUGACGAUACCAUGCGCAUUGAGGUGUCCCCUUGCCAUGGAGGAUGAGGACGGUAGGAUGGGAGGGCAUAAAGACAUACUCCUCACAUCACAGGUGCGUGAAGUGGGGGUGUGGGAGGAGGCUGUUGCGUUCCUGUUCUGUUCUCCUGCCCCCCCCCCCUGUAGCCCACCGCAAGGUGGCAAAAGGCUCGCCCUGUUGUUCCCUGCCGUUGUUCUCUCCACGUGUUUGACGUGCACAUCACACCCCUGGCCGCCUCGGAUGGGAGGCGGCCCUCUAGCCUGCCGUCUCGUGCGCAUGCCUCACCAAAAGUAGAACAAAAGGGAUGCUUGUAUGGCGCCCAACGGCCAAGGGGGGAGGGCGGUGGAGCUGCCCGAUAGGAGCGUCGCACAUCAUUUCGAAGCCCGGGCAGAUGCGGCAGAUGCGGCGGAUGCCCUCCCUUCUCCUGGAAAAGCGAUCUUUUUUGUGUGUUGUUGUUUAUCGCGUCGUCCUUGGCCCUCCUUCCUUUGCCAUUUCUGGUGAGGGGCGCCUCUCAGUGAGCACCAUUGUGUGCAGGACGUGCAAGGGCUGUCGCCACCGUGGGAAGUCGCUGUACCUCGUGGGGCACACCAUCACACCGAGGUGCGCAAAUGAGAUGGGAUCGCUGUAAGGAGUGCGCUGUAUAUGCAUAUAAAUGUAUACGUGCGUGUGUGCGCGCUACUCGCGCAGUCGUGCUUCCGCCUUGCACGGAACCCAUGUGCUCUAGAAGUGAAACAGUUUGUUCUCGCAGUCACAGCCCCUUCCCCCCCAUUUCGGAUUGUGAGGCACAGUCUGCACAGCCUCUAUACUGCAAGAUCUGCUGUGUGAGGCCUUGG
rnacentral:misc_RNA from 1 species